rnacentral:rRNA from 1 species
GUCGAGAAUCUUUCACAAUGGGGGCAACCCUGAUGGAGCGACGCCGCGUGGAGGAUAAGGUCUUCGGAUUGUAAACUCCUGUCAUGCGUGAACAAGGUUGCUUGGUUAAUACCUGGGCAAAUUGAUGGUAACGCAAGAGGAAGAGACGGCUAACUCUGUGCCAGCAGCCGCGGUAAUACAGAGGUCUCAAGCGUUGUUCGGAAUCACUGGGCGUAAAGGGUGCGUAGGUGGCGUGGUAAGUCAGAUGUGAAAGCCCGGGGCUCAACCUCGGAACUGCAUCCGAGACUGCCAUGCUAGAGUACUGGAGAGGUGACUAGAAUUCUCGGUGUAGCAGUGAAAUGCGUAGAUAUCGAGAGGAAUACCAAAGGCGUAGGCAGGUCACUGGACAGUUACUGACACUGAGGCACGAAGGCCAGGGGAGCGAACGGGAUUAGAUACCCUAGUAGUCC